rnacentral:pre_miRNA from 1 species
UUGGAUGUGAAUUGAUUUAUGUUUGGAUGCAUUACCAUUAAGUGAUUUUUACUAAUUUAUGUUGUUUGGAUAG